UCAUUUUGCCUCGACGCUGCCACCAAUUUUUCUAAUCAAAUAUAUAAGGGCUCAGCUCAUCAAGCCAGGAGAACGCCACAAACUCGGUUCGGCAGGACCGAUCUGCCCCUGUUUAAAUCGGAAUGGCGCCCAACCCAAUAACAAUUUGAAAAAGUUAUUGGAACCAUUCCAUCGUUUCUAUUGUAGUUCAGUGUCCUUUCUUUUUCCCAUCUUCAAAGACCUAUCUGUGUCUAAUGUGGCUAUUGCUUGGAACGAUGGCUUCAGUUCCUGGAUACGCUUUAGCUCGCCGUUACAGAGGUGUCAUCAUGGGACCUACGAAAUGUAUUACAAAGUAAAUUUUGGGUUUUAAAGAAGGGGGAACAAUGUCGCUCUGAACGAAAUUUGACAUAGAACUCAAGCAUCAAGUCUUUUCUUAGUCAAAGUUCCUUAUUAAGCUCCAUUGGAACAAGUAAAAGCUUAUAUUCCACAUGGGAGGAGUUGAAUAUCAACUAAGGAUUCUGGCAUGAUGUUUGGGAUGCUAUAUAACUCAGAUUCUUUCGUAUGAGUGGUUUACUCAUGUCGGACACAUAUAGACGUUUGUAGCUACACAAUUUUCUUAUAUUUUUCUACUUAUUGCAGAACUUUAUCUUGGACUCUUGGUAUUAACUUGUUAGUUUUUAUUAGAUGUAUUUGAUCAUUGAAAAUCAGUACCUUUUUGGCAACUGAUUGCCGCUUUAUACUGCAAACAUUUGCCUAUGUCCACUCUAGCCUAAUGUGGAGUCAUAUGAUUGCUAUGUUAUGAGUGUUAUGUAA